rnacentral:lncRNA from 1 species
GAAUAUACCUUCAUUCUCAUGGGGCUUUGGCCCACUUUUUUAUAUGCAUCCAUAGGUAGCUUGGUUUAGCUUGGUCUGAGUAUGGAAAAACUCGCGACUUACAUUUCGAAGCCAUCCGUCUUCCACGACUCUUAUUCUACUUAUCUAAUGCUACAUGCAAUUUUCUAACACAUAAUAAAACUGUUCAACUUCCCUCUUAAGUACUGAUUACUACCUUUUAACUCGGUUACAAUUUUGAUUUAUCAUUCGGUUACAACCCAAUUUACUUAUGAACAAAUCAAGUGCAAACUCUAAAUAAUCUAGAGUUAACAUGUAUGCUCAGGAACCACAAAGUACUUUAAAUAUGUACAAUUCCAAACUCCAGUUCCAAGACAUCUCCGAAAAAGGUGCAACCAGAGUUAACAUGUAUGCUCAGGAACCACAAAGUACUUUAAAUAUGUACAAUUCCAAACUCCAGUUCCAAGACAUCUCCGAAAAAGGUGCAACCUGUCCUGCCGUGACUGCUACGAAACCGUGUGACCAACCGCCUUCCAACCACCAAUGAGUUUUUGGCUUUGACAUUUCAGUCCAACCUAGUCGAUACUGUACCAUUCAUAACCUGCAAAGAAAUAAUAACAGGUUUCAAUAGCCUAACGGAACCAUUACAAAUUCUCGACACAACAACUCCUGACACCAUUCGCGUUACCUUCACUUGAUAAAUCUAAUGGUGCACACCCAAAUCAAGCCUUUAAGUAAUAACGGGAAAACAAUCACCAAGCUCACUUCGGUUCCAUUUCAACCACUAAGCGCCAAGGAUCAAUUA